CAGUAGCCGCGGGAAUACGAAGGGGGCUAGCGUUGCUCGGAAUGACUGGGCGUAAAGGGCGCGUAGGCGGAUUGCGCAGUCAGAUGUGAAAUUCCUGGGCUUAACCUGGGGGCUGCAUUUGAGACGCGUAGUCUAGAGUGUGAAAGAGGGUCGUGGAAUUCCCAGUGUAGAGGUGAAAUUCGUAGAUAUUGGGAAGAACACCGGUGGCGAAGGCGGCGACCUGGUUCAUGACUGACGCUGAGGCGCGAAAGCGUGGGGAGCAAACAGGAUUAGAUACCCCCGUAGUCCCUGUCUCUUAUAC
rnacentral:rRNA from 1 species